UUUUUGGGUACUGAUGAGUUCAUACACUAAAACUGAAAGAUCCCCGAAGAGAGAUCCUUACUCAAGUCUCGGGAAGUCGCGGAUCCUAGACACAGUGAGAACA
rnacentral:pre_miRNA from 14 species